rnacentral:rRNA from 1 species
AUAGAGACUCAGAGCUGCAUAUCAAUAAGCGGAGGAAAAGAAACUAACAAGGAUUCCCUUAGUAACGGCGAGUGAAGCGGGAAGAGCUCAAAUUUGAAAUCUUCAAGGUUCUACCUUGACGAAUUGUAGUUUAUAGAAGUGUUUUCUGUUAGUAGAGUGGCAAAAGUUCUCUGGAAUAGGACAUCAUAGAGGGUGAGAAUCCCGUAUUUGGUCAUUCCUUCUAGCUUUGUGAUACACUUUCAAAGAGUCGGAUUGUUUGGGAAUGCAGUCCAAAAUGGGUGGUAAAUUUCAUCUAAAGCUAUAUAUUGGCGAGAGACCGAUAGCGAACAAGUACCGUGAGGGAAAGAUGAAAAGAACUUUGAAAAGAGAGUUAAACAGUACGUGAAAUUGUCAAAAGGGAAGCGUUUGACACCAGUGUUGUUUUUCCGAAAAUCAAUUAUAAAUGUUUGUUUCUGAGGAGUGUAUGACUUCAUCGGCUUCCUGCUCGUCUUCACUACUGUUUGUGAAUGCACUUUUCGGUUAACAAGUCAACAUCAAUUUCUUUUGUUGUAAAAGGGUAUGAGGAAGGUGGCUUUCUUUUCGGAGAAAGUGUUUAUAGCCUUGUACCUCUGCAAUCGGAGAGAUUGAGGUCUGCAGCGUAGAUCCUUCGGGGUUAGAUACAUUUGUGCUAAGUUAUAGCUUUUCAUAGACAACUUGUUGACUAUGUUAAGUCUUGUAGCUUACUUGCUUAUGCUAUUUUACCUACGCUUAGGAUGUUGACGAGACUGUCGAUCUC